rnacentral:misc_RNA from 1 species
AAUUAUCAACUUCUAUAGCUUUUGUUAUAGAGGCUUGGAUGUGGAGGUUGUGUUGGCUUGCAAAGGUCAACUCCUCUGAAAUGCAUUAGUGUGAACCAUACGGAACGCCUUCAGUGUGAUAAUUAUCUACGCUGUGGUGCUGAAGUAUAUUGUGUCAUGCUUAUAACCGUCCGCAAGGACAAUUACUUGACA